AAAGUGACAUUCCUAUGGGGAUAUCAAGUGGGUCAGCAGCUAACUAUUUGGUAGCUCAAGUGAAUGGGAUACUCUUGGAUGUGUAGAGGCCACUGAAAGGUGUGGGUGUGAUUUAAGUUCCUUAUGUAUGAUAGCGAUGAAGGGUAUGAUACUUUCAGGCAUUCGAUUGCUCUUACUGUUGGAUAGUCUGCCGGGAGGAUGUACAGCUGAGGUUGUGCAGUCUGUUCGUCCUUGAACUGCAAGGGAGAAGUAUAAUGACUUGACACUGAAUGGCACAUGUUUGCCGGGCAUCUCUCUGCAUGUUUAUCGACACACAGACAGUUUUAUUGGGCGAGAUUCUGCCGACGAUGUAGCAAAUUUCUAGCACACGGAUUUAUGAGUGGUGCAAAUUUGUACGUGGUGCUUGUGUACUGAUGUCAAUUGCUUAGCGUUCCAGCCAUUGUGGACAUUAAUUUAUGAUGCAAGCUUGCUUUUGUUUCUUUUUAUAUGAUGCAAGCUUCUAUUUUUUGCUUUCUGAUUCGUUUCUCUUUAUAUGAUGCAAGCAUGGUUUCUCCGAGUCGCCAUAGCAUGGUAGAUCAAUUCAUUCCAGCCACUGUGGACAUUAAUAUGAUGCACAUCUUUUUGGUAUAACAAUCAUUGGUGUCAGCCUUUUUUCUUGCUAUUAAUAAUUGAUAGUGUAUAUUUACUCCUAUUGCUAAUUACUGGACUGUGAUAUCUUUGUGGCAAGAAGAUAAUGGCAAUAUUUUAAAGCACUGGUUACUGAUAAGAACACAAUAUUCCAAUUUUCAGUUACUUGCUUUGAUUUUCCUAUGUGUACUUUCUAUUGAUCAAGAGAGUUGUUUAUAAUUACAAUUGGUUAGAGAAGUUUCGGUGCUUAUAGAUGGAUAGAAUAUACGUUUACUGACAGGCUAUGCUUUCUAUUAUUUGUGAAGUGAUAUAUGAUUGUUAGCUCAAUAUUCAGUGCUCAUAGAAAGUCAUUGUAUCAUCCGUGGAUACAGUUCAUCAUGUAUAAAUCACUACAAUUACACAAUUUCUUUUGUCAUUUCAUUGAUUGCCAUACUGCUAUUUUCAGUCUGCUGCAAUCCAUAUGCAUAGUCAGUCGAUUCUCUUUUUUACAUCUGUACCUGCACAAUAUGGCGACAACAUAGCACUGCCUUGAAUUGGAUUUAUUUCAUAGUCCCUGUCUGGUUGGGUGGAACAAUAAAAUAUUAAGUUGUGUAGGCAUAGCCAUUGAUUGAAUUAGUUGUUCUAGAAAAUUGUGGAUAGGAAAUUCUUUACGGAAAUCUGAAGGUUGCUUUUGCCUGUGGGGAUAAUCGAAUUGGCAUGCUUACCUCUGUGAACGCGUGAGUACCAAUCGUGAAUACCCACUUCCUUUGAUUAUAGGAAACCAAUGUUUCGUUAUUUUAUUGCAGUGAUUGAAUUAUGUCUUCCAUUUCUAAUGCUUGUGGUAAUUGAUGAAUUGCUUGCAUUAAGCGAGGUCAAGGAUGUGCAAUUUUCCAGCUGAAGACUUUAUUGUUCAAAUGGGAGUACAGGAAAUUACAAGCACUAGCAACUUUUAAUUGAUUUUUUGUGCUACUAAACAUGGUCAACAGACUAUACUGCGAAAACUGUCUUUUACCGUGAGCGCCCUGAAUACACACUGAUUGCAUCUCCUCCAGGUGUCAUCUUGCCAUGGGCAGCGCCCCGCACCGCCAUGUGCUAGCCAGCAAGAGAGGAAUAUGGCAUCAGAAUGCCCUGGAUUGCUGCACUAGGCACCAACGGCGAGUCGAAGAACAGCAAGGAGCGGCUGCUGUAGCUUUGGACCGCACGGCGCUGGCGACAACAGAAGAGGGCCAGCACAUCUUUGAGAGAAGCAGGCGAGGCGCCAUUGAGAACAGUACUUCAGAUCAUAGGCUUGUAGUACCUUCAGUUGACCUUUGUGACUUAAUUGGAUGAUUUAGAACUGUACUCUAAACCAUAAGUCUUUGACUUUAAGAUGCUCACUAUAAAGAGAAUCUCUCUCUGUGAAGUAGUUGCCUAUUUGACUGGCCUACCAGUUCUGCGAUAUUCGUUGGACAUUAGGAAGGAGCAUGUUAAUUUGGUUGAUGCACAAUUACAGAAGUUGGUAUACAGUGGCCGACUUAGCUGAUCAAGAGGAAUUGGACAGAUUUGCAAAGCUGCAUUGACAAGGCAUUUGACUGCAUUUAUAUACUCUACUUUCAAUUUUAUUUCAUGGGUGUCGGGCGUUGGCAGCUUGCUAGCUGCUGGGUGACACGGCCGCGGCAGCAGUUCAGUGUUCCUCUCAUAUUCAGUUAGGAUGAGAAGACUAGAUACUAUUCGGAAGUGGAUGUAGUACAUUCAGCCAGGUCCAGCCAGGUCUGAAGGCACGCUUAGUGUUUUUCCUGUUGAGUAAUUGAGGAUGGGGCUUUCCCGUUUAAAAAGAAGUUAAAUAUGUGAUUAUGCAUAAAAGGAAGUCCCCGGUCUAUUUUUGUUGUGGUAUCUCGGCUUAAUGAUUCUUUCAAGGGAAGACAAGAUGGAAAAGAAGCAUCACGAACUAA